rnacentral:tRNA from 2 species
GGAAAGGUGGCAGAGUGGCUGAAUGCGGCAGUCUCGAAAACUGUUAUAUUGGGAAACUGAUAUCGAGGGUUCAAAUCCCUCCCUUUCCG